CCUACGGGUGGCAGCAGUGGGGAAUAUUGGGCAAUGGAGGAAACUCUGACCCAGCAACGCCGCGUGAAUGAUGAAGGUCUUCGGAUUGUAAAGUUCUUUUCUAAGGGAAGAAGAAAGUGACGGUACCUUAGGAAUAAGCCUCGGCUAACUACGUGCCAGCAGCCGCGGUAAUACGUAGGAGGCAAGCGUUAUCCGGAAUGACUGGGCGUAUAGGGUGCGUAGGUGGUUCAGCAAGUUAGUAGCGUAAUUCCGGAGCUCAACUUCGGCACUACUACUAAAACUGUUGGACUUGAGUGCAGGGGGGGCAACUGGAAGUUCUAGUGUAGCGGUGGAAUGCGUAGAUAUUAGGAAGAACACCGGGGGCGAAGGCGAGUUGCUGGACUGUAACUGACACUGAGGCACGAAAGCGUGGGGAGCAAACAGGAUUAGAUACCCUAGUAGUC
rnacentral:rRNA from 1 species